rnacentral:tRNA from 1 species
AGUUAAAAAACUUUAGAUAAGUAUUUACUUUGAAAGUAAAAGACAAUGGUUAAAUUCCAUUAUUAACUU